rnacentral:rRNA from 1 species
UACGUAGGGUCCAAGCGUUAUCCGGAAUCAUUGGGCGUAAAGCGUUCGUAGGUGGCUAUUCAAGUCUGCUGUUAAAGAUUGGGGCUUAACCCUAAAGCGGCGGUGGAAACUGAAAGGCUAGAGUGCGGUAGGGGUAGAGGGAAUUCCCGGUGUAGCGGUGAAAUGCGUAGAGAUCGGGAAGAACACCGGUGGCGAAAGCGCUCUGCUGGGCCUGCACUGACACUGAGGGACGAAAGCUAGGGGAGCGAAUGGG